AGCAAGAGAAGUUGCUUAGUCAACAGUAAGAGCAAGAAUAGUGAGAUGCUAGUGAGAAACUGGUACAGAGUCAGAACCUUUAGUGUAAGUCUGAGUCAUUAUGCAACCUCCUAGAAAAAGGCCAUUUCUAUCAGACUCUCUCACAGUGCCAGAUGAAUGCACAUGUAGGUCUCAAAAAUAAAAUAAAAAAUAAGUCGUAAAGGAACAGUUUCUUUUAAGAAAUCGGAACUUUAUCCAUAACAACUCUGAUUUGAGUUAUUCAGUUCAGUCUCUCAAAGUUUUUGCAAUGUGUACAUUUACAGAAUUGAAACACUUCCUUAGCAAAGAGGAAAUGAAGGAGAUGGCACAAAUCCUGAUAUGGUGCAUCACCAAAAUCAAAAGAUGGGAGUUAGAAAGUAACAGAAGCACAAAAAUUUCAGAUUAGGAUUUAAGUGCUUCUAGCAUACUUGCCACUGUGGCUGUUGUUCAACAACCAUGACCAGAACACAACGCCCUAGGAAGUACUGCACAGAACAGAAAUAAGAGAGAAGAAAACAACCGAAAUGCGACUUCAGGAGGUAAGCACAAGCUGUUUGCCUUCCCAUCUGAAUCUCCACGUUUCCAUCACAUAAUGUUUAUAAAAAAACAUUAAAUGAUCACAAACUCCAUUAAGACAACCAUCAGGUCACAGCUAUGGAUGGUUCAUCUACAAACUUGUUCAUCCAACUUUUAGUUGAGUGCAUCCCUGUCCUAACUAUCCUUGCCUCUUUUCUUCCUUGGCUGCACUGAGUUAUUGACUCUUGCAUUAAGCGUGAUAUAGAGCUGCCCACCCAACAACCUGUGGCUCUCAGCUCCAAACAGGACUACAUUCAGGCGCUGGAAUGGGCUGCCCAGGGAGGUGGUUGAGUCACCGUCCCUGGAGGUGUUCAAGAAACAUUUAGAUACAGCGUUGAGAGACAUGGUUUAGUGGGGUUAUUGGUGGUAGGUGGAUGGUUGGACUGGAUGAUCUUGUAGGUCUUUUCCAACCUAGCUGAUUCUAUGAUUCUACAUUCUGCUCCUGUCAGGUAAGGACAGGGUUAAGGUACAGGACAAUAAAAAAGCUAAGAAAACAGUGGAAAUGCUUUACCUUCUAUAAUCUCUCCCUAAAAAUGCAAGUUGAUUAGUCAGAAUAGCACAAUUUUUUGUGUUCAAUUAUUGUUCAACACCAGUUUCAUGGCCUCCCCAAAGGGAGAUGAGAAAGUCGUUAUUUCUGCACAAGCGCUUCAAAACAGUUCACAUACUUUAAUGGCCAUCAUAAAACCAAGAAAUUUCCACAGGAACCUGAACUUGCCUGUGAUGAACUAAGGCAGAGACAAUCUGGGUUGGUUUGUAAAUAGAUAGGGCACAAACUUAAUUUAUGGCAAAGCACAGACUCAUGUGAUGGCCAUACAGCCCUUCUACAACCCUUCUCCUCCCACUUUUGUAUCAAAAUUUGUUAGGGAAGAUUUUAUUGGAAGACAGGAGUUAGAAUUCCUCAUUUUCCUUCCUGGAACCUGCUGCAGGGAGACACAUGCCUCAAGGAGCAAACCCCCCCCACUUGCCACAACACAGCUGCUAGGUAGCUCUAUUUAUUUACCCUCCAAGCUCAGACACGGCUUUCCAUUUUCUGGCCCAGCAGAGGGUUGGAAACUUUGUUUCACAAAGCUCAUGGUUGGAAAGUUUAAAUUUAGUUAUUCCUCCUCAGCAGGAGGUGGAUUCUCCUGCCACAAAGGCCACAGCAGCAAACACUUGGAAUCUGCCAUACAGUUAUAAAAAUGCGUCUUCAUGGUUGUUCCUCAUUUUACCAGUAAUGUAUUGACAUGGGUAGCAAACAGUUUAGUAUAUGCUCAUAAUUAAGCACAGAAUGCCAGAAGCUGGCUUUCACUUGAUACCAAGUUGACUGGAAUAGUUUAUGUAAACUCUUCCUCAGAAAUAAAUUCAAUUAUGAAAAAAAAAAAAGCUCUUGCCUACACUUAAGAUGUGCUCUUGGGCCAAACUCAAACCAUGGUAAAAUAGUCUUAGGAAGGCUGGAUUUCACAGCCCUAAACUCAGCCCAGUGCUAGGCCAUUUCACAGUGCGGUUCCUCCAGCUUGGCUGACGGAGAUGCACUGGGGAAAGCUCCUGUUAGCCACUGAACUCACGAAAGUUAUUUCUUUCUAAAGAUUUCCUUCUUAUACAAUAUGCAAGGGUAAAGCAUAGACAAGAAACCUCUGCCACUACUGAGAAAUCAGCAGCUUGCAUCCAAGUUCAGAUAAAACCUCUCCACGAUGAAAUUCUCUUUCCCCACUUCAAGCUUCUUGACAGAAAAGCUUUACCACAGGAAUAACAUGGGAACAUCAAUUCCUAUUCAUGAGAAUAACAACAAAAUAAAAACAAAAACUCAACAUAUAUUACUUAAAUAGCCUGAACAAUUGAGAAGGAAACCUGAGGAACUUCCAGCAGCACUCCCAGAAGAAAAGUCAAAACGGAUGCUCACAAGAAAAAUGUGGAGUUUUAGAGUGGCCAAGCAGGCACUGCAAAAGUAGCUCAUACCUUACAAGGUAAGAAAUCUGAAUUAAGAUGGCACACCUAAGCCAUAUCCUUACUGAAAGGAAAUAACAGCAUAGGGCAAGAACUGAGAGGCUCCUAGCAGGAGGUGGCUGAAGGGCAGGUAAGUGCCACAAUGCAGCUUGUGCAUGAUAUUCACAACCUGCAGAAAGCAAAUCUGCCCAGCUGUUAAUGCCAUAGUUUGCUCUGCACUAUCAAUCCAUCAAAAAUAUGAAGGCAGCUGCCAUUUGGCCCCACCAGCACCACCUAUUUAGCAGGUUCACAGAGCUCAUGGUCUACAGGCAAGUUAACCAGAUUGGUCUUUGUUUGCAUGAAGUUAGGACUAAAAUAAGCUAACUACUGCUUGUUCCUCCCCUGCCAUCUUUCCAGAACCAUUGCAGUACUGCAGAAACAUUGUUAGAAAAUUUGCUUUUGAAAUAGAACAAAACAUUGCAUUUAUUUUGAGUUCUCUCUAUGCUGGAGUUUAGCUCGACUUCACAAUUCAUUAUUAAAACCAUUCUACAGCAACAUCUGCAUGGAAUUAUGUAAAGUUAUCUGUGUGCACUGCCAAGCCAGUCUGAGGUUCGCUCUUGCACUCACACCAUCUGUAAAAAUUAGGCAGUGACUUGUAGCUCGAGUUAACCCUUACAGAUGCCUCUAACUCUCAGACAUCAAAAUGCAGUUCUAAAGCUGAUGUGGCAUGGAUGUCUAGACAGAGAUCAUUACCCGGCCCUCAGCCCUAGUGAGGAUUCAAAGGGAGUUUCAGUCCCAGAGGAGGCACAUGGGGAACUGUAGCCAAUGCACCAAGCUCAGCUCAAGUUUUGCUGCAUUACUCAAAAUCCUGCCUUAAUAUUAAUCCAGUAAUAUGAAUUUCUAAGGUAGGCAUGCAGCGUUCUCCCCACAUGAAUUGACUUUUUGGUUGGCAUACGUCAACAUCCUUAGCUGCAAUAGCCAAGGUAUCUCAAUGCUCAUAGGGUCCAUCUAAUCUCUGGUAACACCGAUUUUGGGAUGGAUCUACAUCAACUACUGAGAGAUGAAACAUUCCACUUGCCCUUCACACUUAUAAUGAUGACUGUGAAACAGAUUAGUGACAUUUGAGAAUGAAUAAGUGACAAAAAAAAUUGAUUCUCAAAAUCAUAUUCCUGCUUUUAAUUAUAUUCCCAGUCCUCUCUCCAAAAGGCUUUAAAAAUGUAGAAUUAAGGAAGCAAGGGUUAACGCCAACCAACCCUAUGGGAAAGCACUAGAGAACAGUUAAAGGAUCAUAUUUUGUGAAAGUUUUGUUUAUGUUGACCAUCACCCAUCUGUGCUUCCAUAUUGUCCAUUUCUCCACACAGGCAAGAGAAUUAAGGACUUGAACAAGAGUAGCUUACGAGGUGCCACAAAAUCUUAAAAAAAGAUACUGUGAUCUUUCUGAAUAUUGGUCUCUAGUUUGCCCCUCGGCCAUUAAGUUCUCUGUAGAUUUUUAUUGUUGAUGUUUAGAUUAACCAAAGUAAACAUGGGUAGCAAUGCUGUAAAAAGGGAAUGGGAAUCUCUCCUGCAUGAGUGGACAACACAUUCUUCUAAACAAACACUUGAGUAACACUGCACCUCUCAAGAAUCUUGGAAAAACCCCACUCAAGCAGCGGUCUGGUACAUGUGACAUGUGCUCUUUGCACUUCAGAGAGCCGCUACCAUUUAAGUCCUUUUGCUUUAGAUCAAGAAAUCUCAAAAGACAGUUCUAUCAACUUGAGUUGUCCUGCAAAGCAGUACUAGAUGCUAUCAGGCCUCUUCAAACAUGGCACACAGAUGUUUUCAUGCCAACAGUUGACUAUUUCCAUUCAGAGAUGCUAUCUACUUCUUUAAAGAAAAGCUUGGGCAUGAGAGUAUUGCUGUGCAGAUGAAGGCACUUGCUUUUUCCUCCCCUCUGGAGCUCUUACUUCCUACACAGUGCAUGUAUAUUUGAUACACAUACAGAAGUCAGUUAUAAUUGCUUUGGACAGACCUCUAAAGAAUAUGCAGAAGACGACAGACAUCAGAAGUAGCAUUUUGCAUGAGGGGUUUUCUGCAGCAAGCAUAUUCUCACACCCACUUCCUAAUAUUUCACAGCAGCGUCCAUAUAGCAUUAGACAUUACCACUGUACACACUGGCUCUCCUCUUCGCACAGGGUUGCUUAUUCCCACAUAUUUGGCAAAAGUACCUGGUUGACAGCACUGAAAUCACAUGAAAUGAGGCCAGCAUCUGACUUCAUAGCAUUUUACAUGCUUGCAAUUCACAAAGAAGAACCUUUCUCUUAUAUAUGACAUACAUGCAAGAGGUCUUCCUUGCACAGCCCUUACUGUGGUUUGGGGUAUAGAGGUCCAUAUGCGAGUCACUGCACAGCAGACUGAGGCUGUCAUCUCUGGGUGAAUUAUUAAAGUCAGUGAAAUAUUAAAGGCAGCUUUCAUCUUCAAACACAGAGUUUCUCAGCCUGUAUGCACCGCAGACUUCACUGCAGCCACUGUUCAGUCAUAAGCAAGGUUUGUCUCCCUUAAAAGAUGGAAGCGGGGCUCAAACAAAGGAUGUGCUAAAGGAAGAAAGAUGUGCUUGUGACAGACAUCCCACUGGAACAUAAUGAAGAUUCACAGCACAGAUCCACUGCCUUUUAUGUGCCAUACCCAAACCAGACUGGGCCACAUGCUAGGAUUUCAGCUCAACUGUGUGUCAUGAUCCUUCCAACUGAGUCAAGUCCUAGGGCUACCUCCUAGCAGCAGGGUACCUAUGCAUUCCCAGGGGCAAACCCACUUUCAAAUGGGAGCCUCGUUUUGGAAAGCGUUGCAACCCUAGAUGUCUGCAAAAGUGUACAAGGGUUCUAAUAUCACUUGCAACUACUGUGGUUGUACUCUAGCUACAACUUCUGGGAUAAACAAACAAACAAAAAAACUCACUAUAGUCUAUGUUACUGCUUUUCCCCAAGAGGUUUUGCAAUUUGCUAAGGAAAUACCCCAAGAAGCUCACACUGCUCUAGUUGGGCAGCAGAGUUGCUAGAUUUCUCACAGGAGAGAAAGGAGAAAGGUAUCUUGCCUGCAGCUCCUCUUCUGGUAGUCCAGCAUGGGAGAAAGCCUGCCAGCUGCCAGGAGAACUGCAAUUUCUAUAGAGCCAUGAAACAGGUUUUCUGUCGUACCACUUAAAGCUGAAGGGAGAACUACAAACAUAGAAACUGGUACUACUGUUUCACUGUUUGUUUGUUUUUAAGGAAUGUGAGCUUCCUCCCUCUCUUGUCAAAGAAAAUAAUCAGGUUUGGAGAGUCAAAGAGAGUCAAGAGUCAGCCCAUCUAAUAUUGAAGAAAGAGGCUGCAUAUUCCAGUGCCUUGCUUCAGCAUUUCACAAGAAACCCUACAUGAACAUAACAGCAACUUCAGCUUAAGAGCAUCACUUAAGAGCCCUGUGAAACCAAAACAAAUAUGGAAUGCACUGGAGACACUUCUCUCUUCCACCUUUUUGGGAGAGACUGAAAGCUAAGUUGUGUUUCAAGGUAAAGGCUACAGCAGUUUUGGCUUAAUUUGGUGAUGGAAAUGGUGUUUGAGAAGCGGGCUUCCUGAGGUGAGGGAGGAAAUAGGAAGCAGGAGGUGGGGACUUCUGGAUGGCUGGUCUCUGCUGACAUCAUUUUUUGGCUAUUAACAGAAGAGCACUUUGCCUUAUGGAGCUAAAAGUUGGAACAGAGGGCCAAGAACUGAGACCAGGGUUUGCUGUUCUCCAGCAAUAGUUGAUAGUAAUAGCUAAACAGCUAAUAGUUAGGGCUCAGCAGCAGCAUAGGGAAUUAAAUUCCUUUCACUGCUUUAGUUAUUACUGAAUUCAGAAAAAACAGAAAUGAAUCCCAAAGUCUGUGUAGUGUUACAAGUGAAAGAGUAGUUUUUAACUUGCAAUACCUAGCUGUUAAGGUAAAUAGUUGCUUCCAGCCCAUGUGGUUAUGGAUUUGCUAUCCCAAUCCUUCCAGUUAGUCAUCUUCCUCCACCCCUACUACCAAUCACAUAAGGUUGGUAGACAGAAGCUCUUCAACUGUGUCUUUAGUACCUCUCCCCUUUGUUGCUAUACUCAGUUCCUUUGGUUGUGGAGCUGCCUGGCAUGGAGGGUGCACCACAUCUGAAUAAAAUAGCUUAGUUACUGCUGCCACACUAGUUUUUCCCUGGACCAAGAGUAGCUGAGCUGACUAGGUGUGUACAUAAGUGCUCAAUAAAGAGUCCCCAACUGAAUCUCAGAUUCUGGCUUUAACAUCUAGCUUGCUGGGAUUGCUUUCACAUCACAUUAUAUGCACAAACACAUAUGCAGAAAUUCACACCCUGACCUCUGUAUUCAAAUACAUAUCUUUCUAGUCUUCUGUUGGGAUUGGAACUGCAUUUUCUUGUAUUUCUGGAAUAAGUAGAAGUGUUUAGAACAUGGGAAAUAUUCAUGGGAAAAGCAAAAACUGGAUAAUAUACAAAUCAGCUCUAAUACUUUACGGGUUACAUCACUAGUAGAGACGAUGGAUAUUUGGAGUAUUAGACAACGAGGAAAUACCACAUUACUGUAUUUGUUCAAAUCUUAUAUGCUAGUAGGUGAUAAGUCUUCCAGAGGUACACAAUUGGAAAAAUACUUAUAGACUUAUCUCUUAUUAUAAUAGUGAACUUAUGCAUGUACACAUGUGUAAAAUGCACAGUUUAUCUUUGUGUUCUGGUGUUAAACUCCCUAUGUGCUGGAUCUGCAGCUAUUUGCUAUGGCCCAAUAGAUACCUAGGGGCUCCCCCUCCCUGUUUUUUUUUGUGUUUUUUUUUUUUUUUUUUAAGGAAAAAAAGACCUCAAGCUCAUGUACUGACACAGCUGGAAUGAAGGAAUCUGCCAAACACGUUCUCAAAAGUUGGCACAUACAUCCACAAGGCCAUUGUAUAAUCCAGUACAAAUUACACCAGUUGCGUCCUUAAAGCAAGGAAAUAAAUGCACUAUUACAUUAAGAGCUAUGGAAAAGUCUUGGAAAUUGCCUGCAAAUCUCAGGCAAAGUCCCACCAAGCUCUGUGUCCCAGCUUUCCCUAAAUUAGCAGGUACACUGGGCUUCCAAGAGAGAAGCAGAAGAAAGUACCGCUUGCUUUGCGAGCUGCAAAAAGAAUACUCAGUCAACACGCUCAAACAUCAGCCAGCAUCACAGGCUGCUGAGGCUGAAGGAGCACAGAGCAAUGAAAAAGCCACCAGGUUGCAUAGGCAGCUAUGAAGCUGCAAAGCCAUAAAGCUGCAAAAAGGAAAAGAAAUUCCAAGUUUCAAGUAUACUAAUGCCUUCUGAAAAUAAAUUUAAUAAAAUCUUUCUCUUCCUGCUUUGCUUAGUUUCACGAACACCUAAUGGUGAAACUGUCUGCAACGUGACCUGCAAUCCAUGUAAUCCAUAUAAUCCAAGCAGUUUGUGGCUCACAGCCUUUGUUCAAUACAGAAACAAAAGGAACUAAGAGAGGAGUGCUUUGCUCAGAGGAACUAUCAGUCAUGACAAGGAACAAAGCUAUCUUUUGGUGGGCAUACAGUACUGCACAGGCAGCCUGGCUGCAGCUGUCAGCCUGUGAAUGCCAAGCACUGCUCAGUAAAUAAGCAAAACAAGAUCCACCAUAGCCAAAUGGCUUUAAGAAGGCUACUGACUUGCACUGGUAUGCUGGCCAGCCUGAUACUGUUAUGCGACCUGCAGAACCAACCUAGGUAUUCCAGAAAAUACUUAUUGCAGAUCUUCCUUUUUCCAUUGAAUUAGCUUGGAAGUUGGAUUUCCCGCCUGACCUCCAAGUUUGAUUGCAAUACAGAUCAGUUUUCUCUUUCUUUCCUUCCAUCUUCUUUUCUCUUGUAAAGUGAGAGAUCUACAUGUACUCUUCAGCAAAGAAGUCUUUGUGAUUUUACUAACCAUAAGGUAAGAUUGCUAGAGAGCACACUGACUUAACAGCCGGUACCAAAAGCUGUGCUUGGGGUCCAUACAGGCAUCAAGUGGUACCCAUACAGUGCCUUCCUCUCUUUUUACAUAAGCCCCCAGCUUUUAUUUUACUUCAAUAGGUCUCAGAAGUUGACCAGUGAGUAUGCCAACUGCAGCCCAACUCUUUCAGUACAGCUUCUCUAUCAUUCUGGUCAUUCAUGGGCCACUUUCCUUGCUGUGUCCUUGAUUACAGCUUAGAGACUUUCAUCUCUACUUCCAAUAGGACUUCAGUCCUUUAUCUACUUAGCGUUUUUACUGUUAGGAAGAUCCAGCUCAAGUAGGGAAGCUAAGCAAUAAGUCUUGCCUUGCCCUACUCAAAGCCUGUUCAGUCACCUCCUCUCCAGCAACGCAUCAUUUCAACAUUUACACCUACUUCAUAAAUCUGAGUGAGGGUUCAAUGAACCUGCCAAAUGGUACCAUGGACUCCCUGUCUGCAGCCAUCAGUAACAAAGAAUCCCCAGCUCCAAGUGGGUAUGUUGGGGUGCGGAUAGAGAAAGACUGAGGCAACAGUGCAGAAUAUGCAAAUCCAGGUGGUCGCUAUGGCAGCACAAGAGCAACCCACUGCCUCCAGAAAGGCUACGCCAGCACCGCCAGCUCCUGCAGCAGAUUUCCCAGAGCCAAGGCUUACAGUGAAAGCAUGCAAACAGAUGGCUUUCCACCCCACAGGAGCAUCAGCCCCAGGAACCAAUGGAGACUCUCACUCAUUACCAUUUGUGGGGUUGUGUUUUCUGCGGUCAGCCAACAGGGUGCAAUAGUCAAACUCACAUAGAACGUGGUGUCAUUUGCUUACUGGGAAAUCCUGAAAGCCACAAAGAUUCAGGAAAAAGAGACUCUGUGGACAAGGAGUGAUCCUAGCAGAGUACAAAACAGCACUCCAGGUGCUAGAGUUGCAUAGGAAUCCCAUAUUUCAAUUGAAAAUACAGCAGCCACCUCUAGAGACAGACUUCAGUAACCUCAGGGCAGAAUCCAGCAGCACUGGACAAGAGCUUGAAGCAAGGAACAAAGACCAUACUAUACCCGGGAGAAGUCAAGAGAUAAAGCAGGCAGUGAUACUGGCUCAGUCUGAAGCACAGCUGAGUCACCUAGCUAAAGACACUGCCUUUUACAAACAGCCCUACAGAGUCCUUCGGAGACAUAAAGCUCCUCCUGCUAAAGGAAGGGAGACACUUCGGUCUCCUGGUGCCCAGCUCAGUGUGCAAAGCAGCACCACACAGCCUUUGGCCAUCUCAGAAAUGGCCAUUUCCAUAUCCUGGCUAUUCCUUGAAGCUCUACUUUCCAAAUACAGCUUCUGUCCAGCUCUGUUUAUUAGACCUGGCAAGACCAUAGCCUAGUUGGUACAUUAUGGUACAAAUACUGAUGUAUGAAGCUGAAUGCUCUGCUUGCCCUCAGACGUCGCUUCAUUGCUUUUCUCCUGAGCUUCAUUCAGGCCAUGUUUCUGCAGUGACCCUGGGAGCUGAGCCUCAAAGAGCUGCCUGCACAGGGCGGCAGGAAAUGACAGCUUCGGAAACGAGUACCAGAGUGAUGAAUAGCAGGCUACUGAGCUGCCCUGAGCUAGCGGGCUGCCAAUUAAUGAGCUGCAUUGUAUUGGACGAGGACAUACAUGGCAAGUAGAAUCACCCACACUCCCCAGAAGAGAUUACAAGCCCACUUCAGUAUUUUCAGAAGGUUUCAUCUAAACUUCUCUGAAAUUUAGAGACUUGCAGGCACAUUACUAUGUUUUGCUCAGCUGGACUGGCCCAUUUCAAGCUGCUGAAGGAAAACUGAAAGAAAAAAAAAAAUUAAGGAAAAAAAAGAGGAAAGACUUGCCUUUUACCUUUGUGCAUCAUGAAGAUCCAGGCUAUGGGAACAGCCUGUGCAGGUGGAAACAGAGGACAUUCACCUUUAGGAAGGGGAAACCUGAGCUUAUCCAUGCAGAAUUGAAAACCAAACAGGAGUUAGUGGGGUUUCUGGUUCCACUAGCUCAAACAAAAAGGUGCAUUGGCAGUGUAAGAAGAGAAGGUGAAUACAUAGAAGCUGCAGAGACAGAAACUUCUGAUAAGAUGCUUAUCUUUUCUCUCAACAGAAAAGUACUCUUGUGCUGCAGAAAAUAUUUUUCAUGGAGUCUGGCUUAGCCACUGGGUAGGAAGACUACUUGAGCAUCUUCACAGGGUUUUUGCUAUAUGGCAGCAAGAAUGCAAUUUCCUUACAGCUUGCUUGGCUGCGUCACCCGGGACACUGACUUUAAAGAGAGGUAGUUAGCCUUUAGUACUCUAUGCAGACCUGAGAGGCAGCCUAGACCCAGAGUGCAUUGCUCUGUCUUAAACUAAAAGCACCUCAUGAAGCUUUGCGCUAUGAGAGCAACAGAUUUCCUAUUAUUCAGAAUGAGGCUGGCUUGCCACUUGCGUCAGUUGCCACUUUGCCAGCAGGAAGGCACAGUCAAGUGUGUAGUAAGUCAGAAUCUCAAUAUUUAAAUAUUCUCAUACUCUGACCCUCCUUCCUGUCUCUUCAAGCUUAAUCAAACAAAGCACAAAUUUGCUGGCAAUAAUCACCAAGGCUGAUCUAAUACUAAAGAAGGGUCAGCCAGACAAACUAAUGAAGCGAGAUACAGAAAAACUGUCCAUCUCCACGUGUUUCACAGAGCUGAAACAAGACAAAUAUAACAUUGUGAGGCUUAUUCCUUUCCAUUAAGAACAGAUCAACCGUGAAACAAGGGUAGGAGUAAUGCUGUCCCUGGGUGAAAAGCUGAGAUUUGAAGACCCUCCAUUAGUAACACACAUGCGUUGCACAACACAGCAUCAUUUAAAAUAAGCAGCACAGUAAGGGAUUACCUAAACCUGUUAGAUAGAAGACACAGAGGCACAGCAUUUAUCUUUUCAACAGGCAGCCACUUAAGCUUACCCUAUUAGUGCCUGCAACAUCAAGCCUUUCCCUCUUCUCAGUCCAAUGCUACCAAAAGAGGACAUACUAGACUGCCUGGACAACCUGCUGCCAGUGCAUCACACUUUCUUUGCUCAGGCAGCUGUUUAUCUGGAAUCACUCCAAUGCCAACAUAAUAGAAAACUGAAAAUUCUAGCAUGCUGCAGAUCUUUGCUUUUCAGGAUCUCACUUUUUGCAGAUCUUGAGGUGUUGUUAACUCUGAGUAACAGCUGGCUAGAAGGCAGGGGCACCAUGGGCACAUCCAAAUACUGAUGGAGUACACCAAGCUCAGGUUUAGUUGGCUUGGGUUUACUCUCCCCAUCAGAGCUCAAAGCUGAGAGGCACCUGAUGCAUGCUGGAAAGCCUUUUAGAAGCAAUACUCCAUUAGGACAAAGAGGAUUGUCUUGCUGCAAGGAGCUGGACUAGCUCUGGGGAGUUCUCUGCAGAAGAACUGAGAACCAAACCAAUUCUUUUCAAGGGGGAAAAUUUUCCCUCCCCAAGUCUUUAGUUACUUCCCUUCCCCUCCCCCACCAUCCAAAUUUGAACAGCGUUCCCUUUGUCUAAUGCUUCUGUAGACAACCAUUCUCUGGAGACAAGGCCUAAAUGUCUAGCACAACAGGACCCUGAUCUCAGCUGGGCCUUAGGCACUGCCAUAAAAAACACAGAUCACAGAGGCAUGGCUCUGGCAGUGUAAAAUAGUCUGGAUAGUAAAUAAGUCUUUGGGUAGGUCUGUUAGCUGCCAUACUAAUUAUGAUGUUGGAAUGCUACGGUUUAACAAAAACUUACAUACCCUGAAAAUUUAUGCCAAAACAUCCCAUUUAGUAACUAUGUGAACAUUUGAAGGGGGUAAGCUAGAGUUCACUGCAAUAAAAUUGAAGUUAAGCAACAGGGCACCUCCAGCAAGAGCAACUGAGUUGUUAGCACCUUUUGGGUUGAUUAAUGAAUUGAUUUGCUUCUGUUUGGAUGCAACAAAUGAGGUGAGACAGAAGGAAGGGAUCUCAAGAGCACCUUUUCAACUUACUACUCCAAGAAGCAUUUAGUCAACUCUGCUCACAUUUGUUAAGUCCUGAUCUCUAUGGAGAAUAUAAUACUUAUUAAAAUUCAGAGCUCUGUAUGACACUUAACAUUUGCUGAUGUGACUUAAAGAUGUCACCAUGGCUACAGCUUGUUUCCAGGAGCUGUCUUUCCCACCAGGAGAUGCAGAUAUCCUCCUCUUUCUUCCUUGCUUUUCCAUAGAAAAUAGGAUAAUCAACACCAUUAACUAAUUGACUUCACACUUUCUUACAAGUUUUAACUCUGUUUUCAGGGCAGCCCCUCACAUGUGAGUCAGGGAGCUGACUAUCCUCAAGCAGAGACAAUCCCUCUGCUCCUGGCCUGUCUUGUCUACUGCUUGCCAGCACUUAGUGCCCAUCACCACAAAGGAAUGGAGCUACUCAUUUCAUGCCAUUUUCACCUCUAUUUUUAGAGAUCUAACAAGGUUCACACUGUAGUUUAUUUAUGAAAGUAGGACGUGUUUUAUUUUGACCUGUAUUAUCCAAGCAGCUCUAGUCUCCUGUUCAGUAAAGGUAUUUAGCAGAAUUCCCCCAGACCACAUGUCCUAGUCAAGUAGGGGCAGAGUCAUAGCCUGGGUCACAUUUUCACAGAAAUAAAAAACCCAUCUGUGAGGAGGCCUCGUUAAUCCACCAAGGGGUAACCUGUACCACAGAGCCGCUAGGCCUCGAGCUCACCGCUGUUCUGGGCUGUCACUUCCAGCCUGCCUCACGUUUUCCUUCCAACUACAACUCAGGCCUUUGGAUGAGCCCAUGCUUAUUUAUUCACAGCUCAGUUUUCCAAUUCCAGGACAGAGCCAAAGAAGCAAAGCAGCUUCUCCAGAUGAGGUCCUGGAAAUGAGCUACAAAGAUUUCAGUUCUACAGAGGAAAAGUCCUGCAUGUGCUUGCUCUCCAAACUUAACGAGGAUUUGCAACAGACACAGGUAUUGCUUAACUGGCAACAAAAAAGCCAGAUGAAGGCUUUCUGACUGGGGAGAAAAGGAGAAGCUAAAAAAAACAAAACAAAACACCAAAACAAACAAAACCACAAAUAAAAAACAAACCCCACACCAAUAUUUCUAGUCCAAACAUUUAUUGUUAAAGAAACCCAAAACAUGGCUUACCUACCUACCCCAAACCUUGGGAUAAGAUCAGGUUUCAGGCUGGAGCUCAGGGCUCUCUCGUUCGCAGCUUAAAACCACUACUGCAACUAGAUAUGAUUACCAACAUUUCAUCUAAGCAAAGGUAGCAAGGAGCAACAGAAGUGAAGGAGGAAGGGCACCAACAGCCCUGCCUUCAAUCGCUGUGGGCAGACCUCAGCGUGUAUAUGUCUCAUAGCUACUCAAGGUGCACCUGAGCCUUCAGACUAUUUUUGGUUUUUAGCUUUUAAGCAGCACUGCUACUUCAUUACUUGAUAUUUAUUUUUUAAAAAACAGUUCUCUCUCUCUCUGUUACGCACAUGUCUAAGUGUGAUCCCAUACCACUGCUGUUUCUAUUCCUGUAGCUAUACCAUUUUAAAUGGGAUUGAUACAGAGCCUUAUUUCGCAAGCAAGAUGCCUGUCUUUAACGAGCAUAAAGAGUUUCAGGAGCACAAGGUUUAAUUCACAUAUAGCAAAAGACUUACUGCAGAGUGGAGUUAUUGAUUAAAAAAACACAAAACCACUGAAAAAGAAAGGAAAGCAGCUAAGGCACCCCCUGCCCACUUGAGCCAGCUGUAAGUUUGAAGAGAGAACAAAAUGAUCUUUAGUUUGACUCCUCUGUGCUCAGAAUUACUCUGUGACAACGAUUCCCUGCUGCCAACACACACUCCAGCUCUGAGCAUGGGGAUGACGGUGUCCAAGCCAAACACAAGUGUGGCUAGAGAGCCUUGCAGCAGAUUAGACAGUUCUUCUCUGUACCGAUACAGCAAGUACAUCUGGGGCACCCUGUCCAUGUUAAGGGCACAUUCCUUGGCUGAGCCAAAAGCUGUUGAGCACCACUUCAGACACCACUGAUGAUUAUCUCUGCAGCACUGAUACAGCACUUCAGCAGCUCCCCAAGCUGGCAGAUGGGGAUUCUUGGGAAUGAGAAUUGUGAAAAGCCCCCAAACGGUUUAUAUUCUCUCUCAGAUCAUCUCAAAUCCAACAAGGAAAACAUGCCAAAAACAUCCAUACUUUGAAUCAUAAUGAAGUGCUCAGUAAGAGGCUAGACUUACUGAAAGCCAGCUGCAAGCAAAGGCAGCUCUUGGUCAUCCAUGUCACCUUUGUGUCCUGAGGAGCCCACUCAGACCUGCGAAUGAUUGUAUGUGGGACAGGAGCUCUACCUGUAAAGUUCAAUGCCUGAAAUCAAGUCAUUGCCACUCCGAGCACGCUCUCUAAAGAUUCUGGAUCCCACAGAAACACAGGGCUGCACACAGGCACGUUUCUCAAGUUGUUUUUCUUGUUCAUUUUUAAUAUUGAAAAAAAUUAAAAACUGCCCUUACAGUGAUGGUAUCACCUAAUGAAAGAAAUUAAUCAGAAAAAUGAAAUACAAAGUUCCUUUAUUAUCAAUUUCUUUAAACAUCAGCACUCCUGUACCUACUUUAUAACCUGGCCAUCAAGAAAGCGAAGGAAAAAUAUAAAAAUCACACCGAACCAGAGUUGAAGCGCCACAAACCCAAACCAAAUGUACCAGGCUCCCUUUUGGGUGUGCACACAGUUGUUCUCUCGUCCCUCCCCUCUCCCCCAUAGAUGUAGCAGUACUGUUGAAAGUUUUACAACAUGACUGUCCAGCUAACACCAGCAAAUACUAGUAACAUCACCGCUCACAUAAAUCAGAGAUACUUUGGUGGGGCACCAGAAGAUUUAGGAAGACAGCAGACAUCUCCAUCAGCAGCACGCUCUUGCCCAUGCAGCACAGCCCAGGCCAAGAAGGCCUCUAGCACUUUCCAGCCCCUCCCCCCCUAGUCUCACCCCAGCUUUCACACUUUGCAACGGUUUCAAGUUCCCAAAUCAGAAGCACUGCUGGAUUUCCAAUUUCUAGAUAUCCCUAUGCCAGCAAGGAAAAAACCUGAAGAUUUUAAUUAUUUUCCAGAUUGCAUACCAGGCUUAAUUCCUUAUUCUCUGUUACUAUUGUCUAUGAAUUCACUUGACAAUUUUCAGCCCUUCAGAUUUACAACCAUUCCUAGCAAAGUAUUUCAUCCACAAAUAAACGUAACCAGCCUUUUUUCUGAAGGCAAAGGGAAAAGUAUAUAGAAAGCACACAGAUGUUUGGCAAGCACAUCAAAGCAAAGCUAGUCAGUACAAAAACCCUCACCACGAAGACGUUCUCAUUGCUUUAACAAUACAAUCAAGUUUUAAAUAUGAACAGAGGAGGAUUCCAAAUGGGUGCAUAACAUUUACAAUAAUAAACUGCAACUGCACAGAAACCUGGGCUACAGAGAGCUAUAUGCUAAAUCAAACAGAAUCAUAUCACAUCUUCACAUGUCACUUCACUACGUGAGGUCAGUUGCACGGAGUCUGUGCAAAUCUUUGUUUUUCACAUUAAUAUGAAAUUAGAUGAAGUUGGGCAGAGACAUCAACUCCUGGCUGGUAGGUAUCAACUUAACUGUCUUUGGCGCAGUGGUACUGUUGUUCUCUGCGUAAAUGGAGAGUACAGUUUUUGGCUCUCCAAGCCCUCAAUUCACUGCUGAACCAUGUACAUUCACUUAGAUGCUCUUGGAUCUUUGGAGAGCAGAGAGCACUUUCCCCUCUGACAAUAUUUCAUAACUUCAACACAUAAUACCUUUUCCAAAGGAGGACAGAUGUGCAGGAGCAGCUUCAGUCUUCCAAGAAGUUUUCCAUUAGGAUCUUGGUUUUCUCUGGCUAUGUAGCCCAAUAGCAUAACCAUAGCCCCUCAAGGCCGGAGAUGGGAAACCAUUACUUGAGCUUUCCUUGCUGAGAGCAGACCAUCCAGCUGAAGCUCCUCAGUCACUGCAGCAGAGGUCUGCCUGCCCGCAGCUACUCACCUUUUACUGGGUAGCUUUGAAAACCAAUGAUGCACUUGUCUUACAAGGGACAUUUCAGCCAGAAUCCAUCAUGUCAAACAUUCAGGCUUUUGGAGCAUAGAGAGGUAUCAUAUGGGCACUAGGAGAAAUGGCUCUAUUUGGCUUUCAGAAUGCUGUACAUCUCAACUACAGGAAACCCUCAUCUCAGGUUUUUUUUUGUUCAUUGUUUUGGUGAGGGUUUUUUUUUUUCCUCCUGAAAAGUCCCAAACUUCAAGAAUUUCAUUCUCUCAUGCCAAAGCCAUCAGUAAAAAUGCCCAGAUUUUCCACAAUGGCUUGGAUACAUGCCACAGUAAGAGAAGCCACUUAAUAGUAAGUUCCCACCCAUUAAGAGAAUCACACUUCAGGUCACAGCUACUUCCCCUUGCUAUAGGGAGACAUCUGCAAAUGAGCUCCUCCUGCACAAACAGCAGCAGGCUAUUCAGUCAACCUGGAGGACAAAGUGCACAGAGAAGGAGUUUGCCAUGUUCCAUGAGGAGGCACUGAAUCCAUGACAGUAUGUUCAAGACAGACUAUCAUGGGCUACAGUAGUGGAAACCUUUAAAAAAAAAAACAGAAGAGACAGAUCUGAUGGGAAAGAACAUAGAUGCAUUCCAAGAACUUCAGGGGAAAGUCAAGUUUUCAGCAGGAAUUCAGAAAGAAACAGAAAGGCAGUCACAAGUCAGCUUUCUGACAUUUGUGUACACCUUAGGAAGUACGUUAUUUGUUUCUGUACAUUCCUAAUAGGACUUGCUAGUUUUUGCUUACUUUUUUUGGUGUUUGUUUUUCCACCAGGAAAGCCCGAUGCUGCUGUCAUAUGAUUAAGAAAGCUGCUCACUAAUCUCAACAAAAAUCCAACGCUCGAGUGUCUUUGGCUGCAGCCAUUAUACAAAGAACAUUUGGGAUUCUGUGGCAUUUGACAGCUUUCCCCUCCUGCAGGACUGACAUUAACCAAAAGCCUCCUAUCCAAAACAAAAAUGCUAGACAGAACACAACUCGCAUUCCUCCUAUUUUGGGAAAGUCCGGUUUGGAAACUUAUUUUCUCAUCUUGAACCCAUGUGUAUCUGUCAAAGCGUAGUUCAGGAGCCAUAUGACAUUAACAGCUUAUUCCUGUGAACGCCAUAGAAAGUUAUAAAGAGAGUGGGAAUCUUCAGCAAGACGUGCUACAAAAUGCAACACAAACAUGAGCAAACACUAUUGUAUUCUUACUACUGCUGCCUACCAAGUACCUUCCACUGCAGAGAAGAGACAUGUUAGGAAAAGGUGACAGUGACAAGCCUGAAAAAAAACUCAAUUCGUACAAGGGGAGGCUGAGUACUGGUCUCACGUUUCACCCCAAGCCUAGUUUUGAUUUCCAAGAGAAACUGCACUUGGAUUUUCCAGAAACUCCGCCACCUAUUCAGAAAUCAGUUUUGAGCAGAAAUGGCAGGUACUCACUGCUGCCUGCUCUUCAGCCCCUGGUCAAUCACACCCUGAUGUCCUCUGCCCCAAUGGCCUUCUAUCUUUCAAAUGGUGAUUUCUGAACAUUUCUGGGCCAACAAGAUACCAGUGGCUUUGAAGCAGAAGAGGACAGACAAACAUCCAAAUGCAAAUUGAAAGCACUUGCUCCAAAACUCCACUAGUGUCUCAACAUUUCUUGACUAGUCAACACCUUGCAAUUUUAUUUUUAAAAAAAGUACUUCUGGCAUCGUUCUUGGGCCUCUUAAAUCAACACCAACAAAUUCCACUACAGAUUUAGACUUCACAACGUGACUUCAGUUCUCCAAGUAAGAGUCUUGUGAAAAAGCUCUGUUUCUGCCAGCAUCCACUUCCAAGUCUUCCAGCCCCAGAUAGCAGAGAAACAAAACAGGAGAGCUGCGUAACAGCAGUCAACCUCCUACACAUUCAGAAGCUUCCUGGCUACUGCUGCAUUAUGAAUGUCACAAGCUGUCAUUGAACAGAGCCAGUCCUGUGCCCAUUGGUUUUGAAUCACACAGCUUGUGGUCCUACAUGCCAUACCAGUGCAAUAGCCUGUCACAAGCUGGUGACAGGAGGCACAGCUCCCUCCUCAUUUCAGGGAAGAUUAUGAUGUUGUACACAUCCAGCAAAAUACAGAAGCUUGUCAUGUACCUAGAAAUGUUCAAGGCUAGAUAGAUGGAGUUUGGGAAAACCUGGUCUGGUGGAAAUAAGCACACAAAUACCAAGCUUAGUUGGGCACCUAGUUAUGAGAGUUUCUGAUCAUACCAAUUAUUUGUUAACUUGUGCAAAGCUCUUAUUCAUACCAUUCACUAAGAAGACUUUACAAAUCUCACUCAACUGCUGCCUCAGUGUUGUCUUCUCAGAAUGCAAAGCACCAACAAAAGCAGAGAAAGUUGGAUGAAAAAACAUAAGGAGUUAGAAGACUCCAUUCUGGCCUCCAUAAUAGAAGUUAGCAUAGAGGUAGAGCAGAGGUGGCAAAAACUAACUAGAAGAUAAAAGGGUGCGUGAGAGGGAUACAUCUGAGCAGUUGACAUCAAGGAAGACAAUGAUUUUAAAGGUCUUUCGCCUUUCAAAAGGUACUUUCUAUAAAUAAUGCACAUUUCCAGAGACACGGGCCACACACUGAUCAUCAUCUUUGUUGAAUUAACAGUUCAGCCUAUGGGAUGAAUCACUCCUUUCUAUCCCACUUUAAGAAUCUCAGAAGGAAGCCAAAACAGCAAGUUGUUCCCAAAGAUACACUAGCCCCCAAACACAAGUGAUUUGUUACAAGACUGGACAUUGCUGAGGCUACAGAUACAUCGCAGAGCACGCACCAUGGAAAUAAAAGCAGCUAAGUUUAUUUAUAUCUUUAACUGUACCACCUCUAGCUCUCUCUUCAGAGAUUCUUUUUAUGGCUAUUUUUUGUAUCACCAAUGGAAAGUACCAGCCAUAGCUAAGAAUUUGGUGGAAGUUUGCUGUUUCCAACCUUUACAAGUCAACUUUCUCCCAGAAAGAGUUACUUUUCAGCUUCAGAAAUCAAAGAUAAGCAGUUCUGACCUACAUCAUGGCUCCAGCUGAAUGACUACAGUUGUGAAAACUGCUUUCUUAAGCGAUGGUUUUUACCAGUCUAGCUCAGUGCUCAACUAUAGCAUUCUAGACUCCUCCCUGCAAACUCACUUGCAAAAAAAACAUUAAGUACCAAUGGAUGGUCUGACUUCAGAGCUCUACCUUGUAAGUGCAGUUUUGGUCCAUCCACCAAAACCCGAUGAAGGCACAGCUUGGAGAGCCACAGAAAAAUGCCUCCGCAUCACUACACUGUUAAGGUUGAUUAAGGCAAAACAUCAGUCUUGUUGAAACAUGGGAUUUCUGUUUUCCUACCUAACUGAGGAAUGUGCUGCAUUACAUUUUCCUCAGACCGAAACACCCUGACAGGAGAAAAUUAACAGAGGCUUUUGCUGUUCAAAAAGGAUCAAAAAGCAUUUACCAUAAAGCACUCCCUGCAGGAAAAAGUGCAGGAGGAAACGAACAAGAAAUAGAUGAUACCAGAAGUCACUAAUCCCCACUGACACCCAGCUAUGUUUGUUUCAGGCCUCCCCUCCUGUGCUCACUAAAUUUCUACCAAGUUUUCUACCAAAUUUGCUUGGGGCUAGUCAGUCUACUCAGGAGCCUGGUGAAACAUGAGGCAAAGAAGAAAUAAAUAGAAGAGGAAGGUUGAUAUGAUUUGGGGAUACGGGAAAAGAAUUACUGGUUAGACAGCUGAAGCAGAUGGCAUUACAGAUUCUGAGACCUGAUGUUGUUGGUCUACAGAAGCCAGAUCAGCUCACCUGGCAGCCCGCAGCCUUCACUUAGAGAUGUGGAUGAGUCUGGCCCAGUGUCUACUUCCAUUUCUGAUUCUGCACUGUCCUUGAAACACACAUGUGCAUGACCAGGCACUUGGUCUCCACCUUGUCCAAGCAUAAUGACUGGAAAAAAGGCCCUUGUGCCACUCAAGUGCAACAAGCAAGGAGACCUUAAUGCUGGCCUCCAUUACAGCACUGUGAAGGGUAGCUACAUCUCAUCUGCAAUGGAAAUUUCCCUGAAACCACUAUCAACUUCCUUCAAAUUCCAAACAAUUCCUAUUAACGUGAACCAAAUUUAAACCAAAGACAGCAAGCAACUCACCAACCAUCCCCAGUACCAUCCAGUCUCCAAAUUCCCACACGCACAUUCCGCAGGCAUCAACCUCAUUACUGAGUGGUGGUUUCUACUUAGGACUGUUUGCAAAGGAGAAUCCUUAGAGUAUGGUGGAAAAAGCAAUACCCUUUCAUGUGUCUAGCUCUCAAACCUGGAUGCUUUUCAGAAAGAGGGGCUUAACUUCCCAGUUCUCAGCUGAUUGAAAGGGUUCAUAUACCAACCUCUAGAGGCUCAUUUCUUAUUUUAAAAAGAAUAGCCUAGAAGCCCAGGAAGUGCAUAGUCUGCUCCAAAAAUACACCAAAGAUGUCUGGAAUGACUGAUUUUUUAAUUAAAUUUGUAGCUGGUUCAAGAACCAGGCUCAGUUAUCCCAUUUGCCUGGUGACAGAAGUGACCAUUUCUGGUCAUACUACUUCUAUUCAAAGAGGUUUCGGUUAAGAAAGGUCUACAUGAAACAAGAAUCAUUCGCAAAAACAUCUUAAACAUGCAGCCAUCCUGUAAUUUUGGUUUGUCAUGAUCUGCAGAGUUUCCUUCUUGGUAAGGGCAAGAAUUUUAGACAAGAGUAAGAAAAAGAUCAAACAAACUGCCUCUUAAGUUUCUGAUCCUGUUUUCAGACAAUUUCUGCCUCUUAAAUAGAGAAUUUCACCUUUUCUCUUUCAAGUCAGUUCAUGCAGUCUUCACCCUGCAUAUACUCAAACACAGACUCCAAAGUCACUUCCAGGGCACUGAAGAAGUUGACCAUUUGAAACCCUAGGUUCAAAUUCAUGGCCAAUGACAGUUCAUUUUUAUCCACCCUGAAUCUGCAGGUAUAUUCAGCUAAGACAAAAACCUCCCCUAACAUACGGAUGCUACAAAAGCCCAUGUGGGAGAUUAAAAUGCUACUUAGGAACUUAUGAAAGCUCAAGCCCAUGAUUCAGGUUUGAUAUUAAGUGCUACUCUUCCAGUUGUAGGGUCACUUCUGCAUGGAGGCUCACCCAGCUGUCAGCCCUCAUCAUAUCCUACACAGUGUUUCAGUACACUGAUAUUUGCUAUUCCAGUUUUGUAUUUUGUUGUGUAUGUAGCUAGAAUUCUUAAGAUGUAUUGUCCUUUAAGGAGGACAGAUUUCAUCUGCUCUUAUGCUCAUCAUUCUGUAGUCAGCACAGUGCCUCAAACCUGAGCAUCAGCUCAUGAAGGUGUUUUCUUACACUUGUCAGAUAGUGGAUGUGCCUGCCAGUGUUAGCCCAGUUAGUCAAGUUUCUGCUAAUCAUGAAAACUGAACAGCUUAUUUUGACUUUGAUCCAAGUGCCAAACCAGCCCAGGAUUCUUAAGCAAACACGUGGCAGCUGUGUCAUACAGGAGCAAAGCUAGGUCUGUAGUGUGAGUGCAUCCAGCACUGCCUUGCCCCUCCAGCUGCUGCAAAAUAUGCUUUCAUUAAAGCCCAUCCCAUGUGCUGCUUACCAGAAAGGGUGUGUGUACACACAACACAAGAGGAAAAGAGCAGCAGGAGGUGAUUCUGCAAACAGAAUUAAAACAGCUUUCAAGAGCAAGAGGCUGGGUCUCUCCAGCACACGUUUGCAUUGCAGGGAGAAAAAGAAGUAGAUUCAAGCGAAGUCUGGAAAAUACUUGGCAUUAUUACCAAGUUGAAGUUCAACUAUGUUGCCAAUAUAACUGCAGUUCAGUUUCAUUUGAAAUAAUAAAGUGAUGUCCCAUUGCAUGUGAAACUUUCAGAUGAAGUCACACAGUAUCAAGAUACAAAAAACCAAACCUGCCAAUAAAAAUAGUAAGGAGAAGCCAGCCAGUAAAACAGAGAUCCCAGAGAGCCCCUCUCAUCCCGUGUCUUCCAGAACUACUUUGGUUAAUCCAGCCAUGAGCUAACAUCUUUCUACUAAAAAAUAAUUAGUCUCCAUCAAGAAUGCUGGAAAGUCUGAUGUCCUUGCCUGAGGGGCAGAAGGGAAGACAUAUAUGCCCCUCUUUCAAGCCACCCCCACAAAUCUGAUUGUAUUAUGAAACUCCAAAGCAAGGCAAUUACUUUUAUAGAUUUUGCUUAAUCUGAAGAUGGACAAAAAAAUUGGUCUGCGGGGAAGCUGAACUCUUUUUAACAUGAAAACCAAAAGUAAGGAGUUAUGUUACUGGUUGUAACUGAAACGCGUCUGCUAAUGAUUACAGCUUCCAUUUUACUGCCAAAGUAUUAUUAGAACUGCUUAUUUGCUGUGUAGCUUGGGGAAAAAAAAUUUACUCCAUCCUUUAUUAAUCCCGUCCUCAUCUGACACAAUAAAAAUGCACUAUCAGUCUUUUGCUUACUUUGGAAAAAAAAACAGGCUUGAAAGUCACCACAAGAGCCAAAGCCUUUGUGUAUAAUUGCUCUCUUGAUUAACGAGAACAAAUGGCAGAAGACGUCAGUCACUAUGUAUUAAGUUUAGUGUUUUGGGGGCUUAUUUAAAGCUAUUUCAUCACUGUAACUUGCUUUCUUAAGAAACUUUGAUGUUACAAAGACUUAAGAAAACAUAUAUAUUUAAAUUUUAAAAGAUAUAUAUACACACACACACUUUUAAGACCACAAGGCAACUACAGGACUGAGGAGAAGAUCUCCGUAACAGCCCUGUAUCUUCUUGGCCCCAGGUAGUUUCCUUGCAGCAACGCUGAGCUUGUGACCUAUUUGGCUGAUAUAGGAAACCCAAUCAUUAGAAAGUGUAUGUAUUCUAAUAUGAAAAGCAGAUUUUCCUUGGAAACGUUUUCUUGGGGCAGGUUUCAGGGUCCCAAAACUGGCAGUGACUGCACAAACAGCGGAGGUAAUGAAUAAAGGCUCCAACCAGGGAUGGUGUGUAAAAUUUUUUCCUUCUCAGCCUGCCAUCCUGGGCUCCAAACAGGGUAUGCAGUGGAAACAGAACAGCUUUAACUAUUCUGCCUGAGCAUAAAGGCUCAGCGCAGCAGGAUUAGAUGAGAAGGGAAAAAGAAGUGGAUUUGUAAGCAGCUGGAAAUUUCAGAAUUGAAGUCCUCAGAGGUCUGAGAGAGAGUCUACUGCUCAGGAGUUCCUGGCUGUGUUGUACAGCAGACUUAAAGGUAGCUUUGCUUUUUGCAUUGGCUUCUCCACACUUAACAGGCAUACUCAAUUCCUCCAAAGCUAAAUUGCCAUUGUAAAGAAAUAAAGUAUCAAGUCUAUGGCUUCAGUAAUCAUUUCCCAUCUUCUCCCAGAGCAGCCGGAUCAUCAGGGCAGUCUCAGAAGCACUGAAACAGAUUUCAUAUCCACAUCUACCAAACGUGAAGUCUAGACACACAUGUUUGUUUCUCUGCUCCUAGAUAGUGUCUUAAGGAUCUCAUCCUCUUGAUUAUGGUGAAGUCAGAGCAGCUGUAGACAGGAACAAUCUUUGCAAGGGCUGACGCUGACUUUCUCCUUCCCUUCCAACUGCCCUCCCAGUUGUGUGGGAACAAGAAGAGUGUUCGUACUCACUGACCUGGCAACCUUGUGAGACCUCUUUCAAGCCUGCCUCUGUGAAGGCUAUGCCCCUACAAGCGGGCUUGCUCUGCUGGGUUUUUCAAGGGAGGGAAAAUCCACUCUCUAGAGAAAUCAGAGAACUACAGAACUCUAAACCAGUACUAAUUUGUUCUGCAUCAAGUUAAAUGGAAGGAAGUUUAAAAGGGAACCCAUUUACUUCAAACGGACGCUUAGAAGACAGCAGAGGGGAAAAACCCAGAGCAAUAGAUGCAUAUUUAAUAAAUCUGAAGACUUCCUAUUUACUGCAGUAACCCUUUCCUUAACUGAAAGAAAUCUGUGGGAGUGGGGUGGGAAAAGAACUGUCCCACAGAGACAUGACAUCAGCUAAAGAAAAGGCAAACAAAUGUAGAAGUUGGAGUGGUUGGACUUAAGGUGGCUACAUGAAGAAGAAAAAGAUGCAUAACUAAGCUAGCCCUGCCAGAAUACCUGUUGCCCAAAGUUAAGAUAAGCAAUGGGAACUGGACAAAAACAUGAAAAUAAAGCCCAAGGCACUUCAGGAAAGCAUAUGUUACAAGGGUGAUUUCAGACUGGAAGUUCAUUUCUUGAUGUGUCUGCAUCUGGAGAGAAGUUCCAGAAAAAGCAGUUUAAAAGCAAACUCUACAUAGAUAGGAUCUGAAGUUCAAUUUGAGAGGAGAAUGCUUUAUAGUAGUACAACCUCAUGACAUGCCUGAUGUUAAUCAUUACUGUUUCUCUCUACAGGGAAAUGAAAUGGGGCAACGGUGCCUGGAAAAUAGUCAUUAACCUCUUACAACAUCAAAAGCUUCUAUGAUAGACUUGAGGAAGCAGUACUUGAACAUUAGCAUCUGUUACAAAUGCACUGAAGCUCGCUUAAGUAAAACAUUGAGCUGCUCCCAAAUCAAGUAGGGCCCGAACAGCAAGCUGCCCAUCAACUCCUCCAUCCCAUCAAACAAAACAUCCCUACUAGCAGAGCUCCAGAGCCAUCUGGAGGUGUUCCAGAAAAGCUUCAGCAGCUAGGCAUUGCAAAAGGCACAGACUUGCUGCACAGCCAUAUUUCAGGUGUUCCGGGUGAGUUUGUCACCAAGAAGGAAGAGCAGGCACACACUGCAAUUCAGAGCUGCACAAACUAAGCAACAAUGUCUAUGAAAUGCAGAAUAGCUUCCCAGUAAAAACGGAAACAUCAUGGUACAAUUAAAGGGACAACCUCUCCUUGCCACAGGGCUGAACAAGUAUUUUGAGCAGAAAAGCACAAGUCCACUCAAUCCCUUUGCAAAGGCAGCAAUGGAGAAAAACCUCGUUUUCCACAGUGAGGGAAGAUACCUAUGAAACCAGAGCAUUAACAGCCCUGCUUUUGUUCCAGCAAUACUAAAUCCCUUCCAAGCUCUUGAACACAGGAACACAGAAACACAGAACACUUGCCAUGUAAGUUACUAAGUAGAGCAGAAGAAAAGUAUUUAGACACCACAAGAUAGCAGCAUGAAUAUUACAACACAUUCAUAAUUCAAGAAUCUUAUACAGCAGCCUCAGCUGAGAUAUUGGUACUGUGGUGCUCAACCAAUAGGCAGACUUAGAAACAUUAGCCUCAAAUAACUUAACAAAGCACACGUACAGGGCAGCCUUGAACCACAGCUCAGCAGCAACCGCAUCAGAAACACUGCAGCAUGCUUCCUCUGUGAAUACAGUAAAUUACAGUUAAAUUCUCAAAGCUUGAAUAAGGGCUUCAGCCAUAUCAAGAUCCUUUGAUUAAAAGUUUAACAGUCAGAAAAGGAAAGCAGCUACCACUUCUUUACCCUUACAGAGACAUUUAAAAAUCCAAUUAGUCUAGGAAAAAAAAAGGAGAAAAAAGAAAAAAGGCAACAAAGAAGGGGUUAGAAUAUGCUUACAAAACAGAAUAACCAGAGGUCAGGGUAGGCUGUCAAGGGCUGCUUCCAGCUUAGUACAGCUGCUAAAGUCAUUAGACAGUGUCACCCCACCCUAGGGCUCCCAGGGGCAAAAGCAGAGGAAGAAGGGCUCCUCCUCAUCUCCUGCUGACCUGGCUGUUUCUAGUGCAAGUGUUCUCUCCAUCCAUUCAACAUUUUGCAAACAGGCCACUGGAAGAAGGAGUGCCUGCUUUGCAGGGUUGGUCGGUCACUCUGUUCCCAAAAAGGAGCAGAUCUCCAGUGAUAACUUGGCUAGAGCAAAUCAUCCCAUCCACUUCUAUCUCUGCUCCAGGCUUGUCUCAGGCUUCAUCUGGAGUCAGCACAGAGCCUGGAUUAGUUUAAAUAUUCCAGUUCAUCCUACCCAUACUCUGCUGACCCCAUUGACCCUUUCUCCAUUGACUAGUUUAAAACAAGGCAUCCUGGCUCCCUCCACAGACGCCAGCUUCCAGACAGCUAAAGCUUAAAAUAAAUCCCACCAGACACACCAACAGAAUUUGCUUUGCUUAUACUGCUGCAAAACAAAACAUGAGAACAACCAGCCUUGAUCACCAACUCCAAGACGCCUGAAGACAGAGGACACUGCUGCAAUUGAGACAAGCAAGUGCUCACAAGCAAGCAUCAUUACCCUUAACGCAGAGGACUCUGAAUCUGCCAGCAUGGAGAAGCCUUUCUCCAGCCAUGGAACUGCAAGCAUCUGAAGGAGAACAGCAUCUAUGCUUUGCCAGCAUUGUCCUUGUUUGGAGGAAAAACUUCUACAAAGACUGUUUUUUAGGAUAUUAAACAACUUUCCAGUAACUUCUAGCCAAACAUUCCUCAUCACCCACCCUGCCUCCUCAGACGGCCUGUGUUUGUCUGCCUUAGUACAUACACUGGGCAGAAAACCACGGCAAGACAGGAACUGAUUCAUACGUGGAUCAAGUAUCCUUUGCUGCAGGGCUCCCUGCAGAAAGGCAGGGAACACAGUAAGGCAGCAGUGAGCUCAGGAUAGGAUGCUGGGUGUCACUGUUGCACCCUGAAGACAGCUCUUACUUUUCAAAAAAAAGAAUUUGGGGUGAUCCUUCCUUAAAUUCAGCUCUAUUCAUGAGAGAAUUAGGAACACUGCUGCAAGCAAGAGCAGUCACACAGGCUGUCCUAAGCAUUUAGCACUGGCUACUUACUUAAACCUGUCUUCUUGGAUGAAAUCACCAGUGCUAGAGGAAAGGUAUUUGACCUAAGUGUUUGUUUCUUCUCCUAAAAUUCCAGGCACAGCUCAAGGAUGGGCCGCUGUACUAGGGAGUAUUUACUCUCUAUAUCACAACCACAGUCUCUUUCAAAAUUUGCAAUUCAAAUACACAACCAUGCUGGGAAGAAAUAGAAAUGCAAAGAAUUAGCUUUCUCAGAGUAAAGAGCAGGUCAGGGCUAGACGUACAAACAGAAAUUAAGAUAUGAGUCACGUCUGCUGGACUGUGCUCUCUUGAAAUGCUUUGUAAGAAAAAAAAAGCAAAUUUCCAGGGAAAGCCGGCAUGCACAGUUGCACCUGAAAUAAAGCAUGAUGCUGGCAAUUAAGUAUACCGUGUCUGGUGGAUGCUCAGCUAUUGACGUUUCAUAAGUAAACACAGUAAUUGUAUUUGCAAUUUGCUGUAGAGCUGCAUCAACAUCAGGAGCAUAGGAAACUGCCAAAGUAUCACUUACCUGUUAGAAUAAAUAGAAGUGCACUGCACUUUGGCCAACUUCUGCAAGACAAAUCUAAUGCUCAGAGACAUUUGCUACCACUGCAUACAGUGCCAUGCUCCUGUCAUGUACAAAGGAGGGAGCAGGAAGAUGGUAACAUCCUAGAGAAAGAGGUGAAGUGGCAGAAAGCAGAUGUGAGACAGGAAGUUGCCUUUACAGAAUUAAGAAACCAAGACCGUAAUGAAUGGGACUGAGAAUUAAUGCUAGUUGGGAAAGUAAGCAUGGAAGAGAGGAAAAGAUUGAUCCAUCAGAUGUAAAAACAACAACAAGAAAGACCAAGCAAACAAACAAAAACCCAACUAUAUUCCUGUUCCCGAGUGGAAUACUUUAAGGAUGCAUCUUUAGUCAAGAUGCAGCUGUUCAUCAUGUAAGUGAUCCUGGUCUGAUGUGGUACCUUGUAAAGCAGUUACUUAUCCCUAGAAAGCAAAACCUUCAAAUAACGUGUGCAGCGUUCCCUGUGAGUAGGCAGAAGACUGACUCAAAGCCCUCAGCCUGCUAUGGGGAAGCUGGCAACAGGGAAGCCAACACACCCCCAGGAAUCAGGCACGAGAGAGCUGUGGCCUCUGUCCCCUUCCCCAGUUGUCACUGCAGCCAUGGAGUGGCACAGGGAAACCAAGGAGUAACACAGCACACAGCCAGGUGCACACUGAUCUCCUGACACUGGGGACCCCAAAGACAGGGCACCCUAACAAGCAGAGGCCUUCCUUAUGGUGACUGUUCAGUGCCAUGCCCCACGUCCUGGCCUCCCUUCCCAGAGGGCUCUCUAGUCCCUGAGGAAGCUACGCUAGCUACAAUAGCUUUGUUUUACGUGUUGUAAUAUAUUGGAAAUCUGUCUGCAGUUAUGUAAUUGCGAAGGAAACAGCUACAGUGGGGCUGAGCGGGGUGAAGAGCCAUCCCUUGAUUCCCCACCACAGAAGCAGCUCACAGGGGCUGUGAGGGAAAAGCCCCAUCCCACCACAGAGCCAAGUGGCAGAGGUGCUCAGAACGUGCUUAUGCUUCCCUGUCUGUCAGGUUUUCCAUUGCAAACACUGCCGCCACAGUUUAUAAGUUGACCGUUUAAAGCCACAUCCACACAGAACUUGGCAAGGACGGAGCAGCUCGGGCCGAGUCCCUCCCCUUCUACCUCAAAGAAAUCUGCAUCAGAUUCCUGCUUUAAAGUCACAUUUCACUGCUGCAGCACAAAUAUGUAUCUUCUGGUCAUUCCACAAGGCUUUUCUAGUUAAGGUAUAAGAGAAGCAAAUGCACUUGACAGACAAGACUCAAGUCAGCUAUUUACAUUGCUACUCUGAAGCUGCACAGAGAUGUUUAGAUAGAGCUGGCCGGUGCAGAUUGGCUACACAGCACAUUUAAACAAACCCGUCAGACACAGCCCUGCAACUGCAGCCUGCUCCCAGACACCAGCUGGAGAGAAUGUAAACCUCCACUUCAAUCUUGAUGCAUUUGUGACCAUUGCUACAUGCAGUUUUUCCAUCCCCAGUUGAGUUAAAAAAAAUGAUAAUACCAGCACACAUUUGGCCUUCUGCUCAUGUAACUAGAAUGCAGAGGAAGGUCUGAAAGACAACUCUU